UAUAUAUAUAUAUAUAUAUAUAUAUAUAUAUAUGUUGAGAAUCCACGAGUUAGAAAAAAUAUGCACUUGUACAUUUGUCAGUAGAGUGGUUGUGUUAAUCAGAGUAUACAGUAUUAUAACUUCAUUACAAUUGAUCUUACCAUUUGGUUUUGCACUGUGAAUAAAAACUGGAUAUUAGAUAACAGCACAGUUAAGUAAUACUACAAGCUCAUCAGAGCUGGCAGGUAAAAAAAAAAAAAGAAGAAAAAAAGAGAGAGCAGUCACCAUAUUCGUUUUUUCAAUACCUGCCAUCUCUGAAAAGCACACAGUAUUACUUAUCCAUGCAGUCAUCUAACAUCUGGUUUUAAUAUCCAGUAUGAAACUGUUUGAAAAAAAAUGGCUGUAAAGGAUCUCUGAUACUGUAUACUUUCAUUAAUACACA